CCCCUACGGGAGGCAGCAGUGGGGAAUAUUGCACAAUGGGGGAAACCCUGAUGCAGCGACGCCGCGUGAGUGAAGAAGGUUUUCGGAUUGUAAACUAUUGUCGUUAGGGAAGAAAAAAAGACAGUACCUAAGGAGGAAGCUCCGGCUAACUACGUGCCAGCAGCCGCGGUAAUACGUAGGGAGCGAGCGUUAUCCGGAUUUAUUGGGUGUAAAGGGUGCGUAGACGGGUAUACAAGUUGGUUGUGAAAUCCCUCGGCUUAACUGAGGAACUGCAACCAAAACUGUAUAUCUUGAGUACAG
rnacentral:rRNA from 1 species